AGAGUUUGAUCCUGGCUCAGGAUGAACGCUGGCGGCGUGCUUAACACAUGCAAGUCGAACGGGAAUUACUUUAUUGAAACUUCGGUCGAUUUAAUUUAAUUCUAGUGGCGGACGGGUGAGUAACGCGUGGGUAACCUGCCUUGUACAGGGGGAUAACAGUCAGAAAUGACUGCUAAUACCGCAUAAGCGCACAGGACCGCAUGGUCCGGUGUGAAAAACUCCGGUGGUAUAAGAUGGACCCGCGUUGGAUUAGCUGGUUGGUGAGGUAACGGCCCACCAAGGCGACGAUCCAUAGCCGGCCUGAGAGGGUGAACGGCCACAUUGGGACUGAGACACGGCCCAGACUCCUACGGGAGGCAGCAGUGGGGAAUAUUGCACAAUGGGGGAAACCCUGAUGCAGCGACGCCGCGUGAAGGAAGAAGUAUCUCGGUAUGUAAACUUCUAUCAGCAGGGAAGAAAAUGACGGUACCUGACUAAGAAGCCCCGGCUAACUACGUGCCAGCAGCCGCGGU
rnacentral:rRNA from 1 species